rnacentral:rRNA from 1 species
AUGGAAGUUGCAUUAGCUAGCGCUGCCGUAAGUGUUACCUUAAAAGUGGCCGCAUCUCCAGCCUUGAAGAAGCUGCUUGCUAAUGCUUCAAUGUACCUUGGAGUGGACAUGAUGCAUGAGCUCCAUGAACUGGAGACCACUAUCAUGCCGCAACUCGAGCUGGUGAUUGAAGCAGCAAACAAGGGAAACCACAGGCCCAAGUUGGACAAAUGGCUUCAGGAACUCAAAGAAGGCUUCUAUAUGGCUGAAGACUUGCUGGACAAGCAUGAAUACAACCUUCUCAAGCGCCAAGCAAAGGGCAAGGAUUCCUUAUCAGCCAAUGCUUUGUCCAUCAGCAGCACUUUUAUGAAGCCUGUGCGUGCUGCGUCGAACAGGCUGACCAAUUUGAGCUCUGAGAACAGAAAGCUAAUUCACCAGCUGAAUGAACUCAAGGCUACCCUGGCGAAAGCCAAGGAAUUUCGUGAGGUGCUCUGCUUACCAACUGGUUAUAAUGCAGAGAGCCCCGCCAUACCAUCAGCUGAUGUUCCUGAGACCACAUCAAUAUCACCUCUGAAAGUGAUUGGUCGUGACAAGGACCGCGAUCGUAUAAUAGAUAGACUCACCAAGACAACUGCUACUACUGAGUCUAGUACAGCCAUGCACUCGGGUUUGGCCAUUGUUGGAGCUGGAGGCAUGGGAAAGUCCACCUUGGCACAACUGGUUUACAAUGAUACAAGGGUUAAAGAUUAUUUUGAUGUGAGAAUGUGGGUAAGUAUCUCACGCAAACUUGAUGUCCGUCGUCAUACACGGGAGAUAAUCGAGUCUGCCUCUCAGCGGGAAUGCCCACGCAUUGAUAACCUUGAUACUCUACAACGUAUCUUGUCGGACAUACUGCAAGAAUCAGGGAGAUUCCUGCUUGUGUUGGAUGAUGUUUGGUUUGAACCUGGCAGUGAAAGGGAAUGGGAUCAGUUGUUAGCUCCUCUAGUCUCCCAGCAGAUGGGAAGCAAAGUUUUGGUAACUUCUCGACGGAGUACAUUUCCAACUGCUCUUUACUGUGCCGAAGUGUGUCCUUUGGAAAACAUGAAAGAUACUCACUUCUUGGCACUCUUCAAACACCAUGCUUUCUCUGGAACAGAAAUCAGAAAUCAUGCAAAACACGGAAGAUUGCGUGAAAAGUUGGAAAACUUUGCAGAGAAGAUUGCUAAAAGGCUUGGACAAUCUCCUUUGGCGGCCAAAGUUGUGGGUUCCCAGUUGAAAGGGAAAACCGAUAUAUCUGCAUGGAAGGAUGCUCUAACUUUAAUGAUUGACAAAUUAAGUGAACCUAUGACAGCACUGUUGUGGAGUUAUGAGAAGUUAGAUCCAUGUCUACAGAGGUGCUUCCUAUAUUGCAGCUUGUUUCCAAAAGGCCACAAGUAUUUAAUUGAUGAGUUGGUUCACCUUUGGAUGGCAGAGGGCCUUCUUGAUUCAUGCGAUCGAAACAAGAGAGUGGAAGAUAUUGGGACGGAUUGUUUCAAGGAGAUGAUUUCUGUUUCAUUUUUUCAACCUGGCAAAGAUCGCAAAUACUUUGUUAUGCAUGAUCUCCUUCAUGAUCUGGCAGAAUCACUCUCGAAAGAAGACUACUUCAGGCUGGACGAUGAUAAGGUGAUAGAAAUACCAUCCACAGUUCGGCAUCUAUCUGUCCGUGUUGAUAGUAUAAUGCAACACAAGCAAAGUAUCUGCAAACUACAUCAUUUACGCACUAUUAUCUGCAUAGACCCCCUAAUAGAUGAUGUAGGUGAACUUUUUAAUCAGAUACUACAGAAUUUGAAGAAUUUGCGCGUAUUAUUUUUGUCAUCUUACAGUAGUAGCAAGUUGCCAGAAUCUGUUGGUGAGUUGAAGCACCUUCGGUAUUUAAACAUCAUCAGAACACUGAUUUCUGAAUUGCCAAGAUCAUUGUGUACUCUUUACCACUUGCAGUUACUUCUGAUAAAUGAUAAAGUUGUGAGUUUGCCUGAGAAACUCUGUAAUUUAAGGAAGUUACGGCAUCUUGACUGGCAUGAUUAUAGAAUGUACGAUCCAAGGAGAAAAGCACUGCCUCAAAUUCCUAACAUUGGCAAGCUAACUUCACUUCAACUGUUUCAGAAAUUUUCUGUGCAAAAGAAAAUGGGAUAUGAAUUGCAACAGCUGAGGGAUAUGAACGAGAUUCGUGGCAGUUUAAGUGUCACAAAUCUUGAGAAUGUCACUGGGAAGGAUCAAGCCUUAGAAUCGAAGCUGAAUCAGAAAAGUCAUCUUGGCAGUUUGCGACUUGAAUGGUGUUGCCAGAAUAACACCAAUGCAGAGGAUAGUUUAUAUUUGGAGAUUUUAGAAGGCCUGAUACCGCCGUCUCAACUUGAGAAUCUUACAAUUGACGGUUACAAUUCUUCAAAAUAUCCAGGGUGGUUACUUGAUGGUUCGUAUUUUGAGAAUUUAAAAUCUUUGAGGUUUAAUAAUUGCAGUGCGUUACAAAGCCUGCCAUCCAACACUGAGCUAUUUGGGAAUUGCUCUUCACUUUUCCUCUUAAAUCUGCCAAACCUGAAGACAUUACCUUGUCUUCCACCGGGCCUUACGUGGUUAGGAAUAUCCAAUUGCCCACUGCUUAUAUUUGUUUCCAAUGAUGAGCUGGAACAUCAAGAGCAGAGAGAGAAUAUCAUGAGUAUAGACCACCUGGCGUCACAACUUGGUCUAAUCUGGGAGGUAGAUUCAGGAUCACAUAUUAGGAGUGUUCUCUCAUUGGAACAUUCAUUUCUGAAGCAGCUGAUGAUAUUGAUGCAUGCUGAUGUCUCACGUGUUCAUAACCUUGGAAGUGUCCUUGGAAGAGGGAAAAAGAAAGUAUUGGUAAAAGAGGAUAUCAUCAACGCAUGGAUACACUGUCACGAGCAGAUGAUGAGUCUCAUGCAUGGAAGUAGCAUUAGGCUGCCACUGGUUCCACCAUCGGGACUUCGUGGGCUUUCUCUUUCUUCAUGCAGUAUUACAGAUGAAGCUCUAGCUGUUUGCCUUGAUGGCCUAACUUCACUGAAAAGUUUGUCCUUGCAAAAAAUUAUGACUUUCACUACACUUCCUUCAGAAGAGGUCCUCCAACAUUUGACAAAACUUCACAGCUUGUGCAUUGUAAGUUGCUGGUGUCUCAGGUCAUUAGGGGGUUUACGAGCUGCUACCUCUCUUUCAGAUGUUAGCUUGAGUUCCUGCCCUUCUUUAGAGUUGGCACAUGGAGCAGAAUGUUUGCCAUUAUCCCUUGAGAAACUCAGUAUAAGGAAUUGCGUGCUUGCAGCUGACUUUUUCUGUGCUGACUGGCCACAUGUGAAUCGUAUUUUCAUAAGCAGUUGCAGAAGCACCACAUGCUUAUCAGUUGGUAGUCUCGCCUCUGUUGAAUCAUUCUCACUGUAUCACUUGCCAGAUUUAUGUACGCUCGAAGGAUUGUCUUCCCUCCAACUUCACCACGUACAUUUGAUUGAUGUUCCGAAACUCACCCCUGAGUGUGUCUCGCAAUUUCGAGUCCAGAAGUCACUCUAUGUUAGCAGUCCUGUAAUACUCAACAACGUGCUCUCGGCUGAAGGUUCCAUCGUUCCAGAAUUUCUCUCUCUUCAAGGAUGCAAGGAACCAUUUGUUUCGUUGGAAGAAUCUGCAAAUUUCACAUCAGUCAAGACCCUGAGAUUCUGUGGUUGUCUAAUGAUUUCCCUGCCAACAAAUCUGAAGUCCUUCUCCAAUCUGAACAAGCUCGACAUUUAUAGCUGCCCCAAGAUAUCAUCUUUAUCAGAUCUGCCAUCCUCCCUCCAGCACAUAAGUAUAUGGUAUUGUAGUGAGCUCUUGAAGGAGAACUGCCGAGCACCUGAUGGAGAAAGUUGGCCAAAGAUCGCGCAUAUCCGCUGGAAGGACUUAAAGUGA